rnacentral:rRNA from 1 species
GACAGAGGGUGCAAGCGUUAAUCGAAAUAACUGGGCGUAAAGAGUACGUAGGCGGAAGAAUAAGUCAUGUGUGAAAUAUCGGGGCUCAACCUCGGGACGUCAUAUGAUACUGUUUUUCUAGAGUUUGGUAGAGGUAAGUGGAAUUUCCGGUGUAGCGGUGAAAUGCUUAGAUAUCGGAAGGAACACCAGUGGCGAAAGCGGCUUCCUGGUCCAGCACCGACGUUCAGGCACGAAAGCGUGGGGAG